rnacentral:rRNA from 1 species
GACGAACGCUGGCGGCGUGCCUAAUACAUGCAAGUAGAACGCACAGUUUAUACCGUAGCUUGCUACACCAUAAACUGUGAGUUGCGAACGGGUGAGUAACGCGUAGGUAACCUGCCUGGUAGCGGGGGAUAACUAUUGGAAACGAUAGCUAAUACCGCAUAAUAUUAAUUAUUGCAUGAUAAUUGAUUGAAAGAUGCAAUUGCAUCACUACCAGAUGGACCUGCGUUGUAUUAGCUAGUAGGUGAGGUAACGGCUCACCUAGGCGACGAUACAUAGCCGACCUGAGAGGGUGAUCGGCCACACUGGGACUGAGACACGGCCCAGACUCCUCCGGGAGGCAGCAGUAGGGAAUCUUCGGCAAUGGACGAAAGUCUGACCGAGCAACGCCGCGUGAGUGAAGAAGGUUUUCGGAUCGUAAAGCUCUGUUGUAAGAGAAGAACGGGUGUGAGAGUGGAAAGUUCACACUGUGACGGUAUCUUACCAGAAAGGGACGGCUAACUACGUG